rnacentral:rRNA from 1 species
UACGUAGGGGGCAAGCGUUAUCCGGAUUUACUGGGUGUAAAGGGGGCGCAGACGGCGAUGCAAGCCAGGAGUGAAAGCCCGGGGCCCAACCCCGGGACUGCCCCUGGAACUGCGUGGCUGGAGUGCAGGAGGGGCAGGCGGAAUUCCUGGUGUAGCGGUGAAAUGCGUAGAUAUCAGGAGGAACACCGGUGGCGAAGGCGGCCUGCUGGACUGCAACUGACGUUGAGGCCCGAAAGCGUGGGGAGCAAACAGG